GGAGCGAGUGGCGAACUGGUGAGUAACACGUGGGUAACCUGCCCCGAAGCGGGGGAUAACAUUUGGAAACAAAUGCUAAUACCGCAUAAUUAGUCAGAACCGCAUGGUUCCGACUUAAAAGAUGGCUCUGCUAUCACUUCGGGAUGGACCCGCGCCGUAUUAGUUAGUUGGUGAGAUAAAAGCCCACCAAGACGAUGAUACGUAGCCGACCUGAGAGGGUAAUCGGCCACAUUGGGACUGAGACACGGCCCAGACUCCUACGGGAGGCAGCAGUAGGGAAUCUUCCACAAUGGACGAAAGUCUGAUGGAGCAACGCCGCGUGAGUGAUGAAGGGUUUCGGCUCGUAAAACUCUGUUGUUAAAGAAGAACAAGCAUGAGAGUAACUGUUCAUGCUUUGACGGUAUUUAACCAGAAAGCCACGGCUAACUACGUGCCAGCAGCCGCGGUAAUACGUAGGUGGCAAGCGUUGUCCGGAUUUAUUGGGCGUAAAGCGAGCGCAGGCGGUUUUGUAAGUCUGCUGUGAAAGCCCUCAGCUCAACUGAGGAAGUGCAGUGGAAACUACAAAACUUGAGUACAGAAGAGGAAAGUGGAACUCCAUGUGUAGCGGUGAAAUGCGUAGAUAUAUGGAAGAACACCAGUGGCGAAGGCGGCUUUCUGGUCUGUUACUGACGCUGAGGCUCGAAAGCAUGGGUAGCGAACAGGAUUAGAUACCCUGGUAGUCCAUGCCGUAAACGAUGAAUACUAGGUGUUGGAGGG
rnacentral:rRNA from 2 species